rnacentral:piRNA from 1 species
UGCCCAACAACUCUCCUCCAAAUGGUGU